GAUGAACGCUGGCGGCGUGCCUAAUACAUGCAAGUCGAGCGGACGGACGAGACGCUUGCUUGGCUGAUGUUAGCGGCGGACGGGUGAGUAACACGAGGAUAACCUACCUAUAAGACUGGGAUAACUACGGGAAACCGGAGCUCAUACCGGAUGAUAUUUUGAACCGCAUGGUUCAAAAGAGAAAGCCGGUCUUGCUGUCACUAAUAGAUGGAUCCGCGCUGCAUUAGCUAGUUGGUAGGGUAACGGCUUACCAAGGCAACGAUGCAUAGCCGACCUGAGAGGGUGAUCGGCCACACUGGAACUGAGACACGGUCCAGACUCCUACGGGAGGCAGCAGUAGGGAAUCUUCCGCAAUGGGCGAAAGCCUGACCGAGCAACGCCGCGUGAGUGAUGAAGGUCUUCGGAUCGUAAAGCUCUGUUAGUAGGGAAGAACAGAUGUGUAAUUAACUGUGCACAUCUUGACGGUACCUAAUCAGAAAGCCCCGGCUAACUACGUG
rnacentral:rRNA from 1 species